rnacentral:rRNA from 1 species
CAGCCGCCGCGGGAAUACGUAGGGUGCAAGCGUUAAUCGGAAUUACUGGGCGUAAAGCGUGCGCAGGCGGUUAUAUAAGACAGAUGUGAAAUCCCCGGGCUCAACCUGGGAACUGCAUUUGUGACUGUAUAGCUAGAGUACGGCAGAGGGGGAUGGAAUUCCGCGUGUAGCAGUGAAAUGCGUAGAUAUGCGGAGGAACACCGAUGGCGAAGGCAAUCCCCUGGGCCUGUACUGACGCUCAUGCACGAAAGCGUGGGGAGCAAACAGGAUUAGAGACCCCUGUAGACCCUGUCUCUUAUAC